rnacentral:misc_RNA from 1 species
AUUUUUGGAUCACUGAUUGAAGUUGGCAGGCAUUGAUAUUUGUUGCAUUUGAAAAAUCUGUUUCUGUCUGUACUUGUUUUCCUUCUUCUCUUCUUCACUGGUAGUUUCCAUUUCCACCGCCAAAUGCUUGGCUUGACGGCGCCGUAUUACUCUCAUUACCCUCCAAAACCAUCCCUUGCGGUGGCUGUUUAUGUUCUCUUUGUGAAUAACCGCCGCCACCGCUCAUACUUCUCAAAACCUGUCCAACCCCUAAGAAGUCUCUUGUUAACCUAUCUGCCCCACCUCCCA